CGUAACUACGGUGCGGCAUGGAGGGGAAUAGUUGGGUGGACAGGGUUAUGUGGAAUGUGGGGGGGUAAAGGGGUGGGAGGGGGGGCGUGGCGGCCGGGGUGAAAUUGCAUGGCUUAACGGGGGAUCCGCGCCGGGUACGGGAGGGCUUGAGUGCGGUAGGGGAGACUGGAAUUCCCGGUGUAACGGUGGAAUGUGUAGAUAUCGGGAAGAACACCAAUGGCGAAGGCAGGUCUCUGGGCCGUCACUGACGCUGAGGAGCGAAAGCGUGGGGAGCGAACAGGAUUAGAUACCCUUGUAGUC
rnacentral:rRNA from 1 species